UACAGAGGGUGCAAGCGUUGUUCGGAAUUACUGGGCGUAAAGCGCGUGUAGGCGGCUUAUUAAGUCGGACGUGAAAUCCCUUGGCUCAACUGAGGAACUGCGUCCGAUACUACUAGGCUUGAGUGUCGGAGGGGGUGGCGGAAUUCCUGGUGUAGAGGUGAAAUUCGUAGAUAUCAGGAGGAACACCUGUGGCGAAGGCGGCCACCUGGAAGACAACUGACGCUGAGACGCGAAAGCGUGGGGAGCAAACAGG
rnacentral:rRNA from 1 species